CCUACGGGUGGCAGCAGUGAGGAAUAUUGGUCAAUGGGCGAGAGCCUGAACCAGCCAAGUCGCGUGAGGGAGUACUGCCCUAUGGGUUGUAAACCUCUUUUGUCGGGGAGCAAAAGCCGGACGUGUCCGGCUGUGAGAGUACCCGAAGAAAAAGCAUCGGCUAACUCCGUGCCAGCAGCCGCGGUAAUACGGAGGAUGCGAGCGUUAUCCGGAUUUAUUGGGUUUAAAGGGUGCGCAGGCGGAUUUUUAAGUCAGCGGUAAAAUCGUGGGGCUCAACCCCAUCCAGCCGUUGAAACUGGGGAUCUAGAGUGUGCGAGAGGUAUGCGGAAUGCGUGGUGUAGCGGUGAAAUGCAUAGAUAUCACGCAGAACCCCGAUUGCGAAGGCAGCAUACCGGUGCACAACUGACGCUCAGGCACGAAAGCGUGGGUAUCGAACAGGAUUAGAUACCUCAGUAGUC
rnacentral:rRNA from 1 species